UACGCAAUGGCUCAACAGCUGGCUUUCUGAGAAGGUCCUGUGAGGGAAUAUCCUUUCACUACAUCCUUCAGGAAGGCAGAGGCCGAGUGAGUCAGCCUCUCCCAGUGGAAGGGACAGAACCCCAGGGCUCCCACAUGCAACACAAAUUAUCUACACCUCAACCUAGAUUUGGGAUCUUGGUAUUUCUUCUCAAGAGUUCCUACAGGCUGUGCUACCUGCCUGUGGUACGACUCAAGCCUAAAGAUGGCACAGGACAAGGCACCAGAGCGUGGCUGCUCACUCUCCAGUCAUGGCGUCUGCACUAACGGAGUUCAAUCCUUACGCUUUCAGUCCUUCUCAGGCCUCCAGCCAGAGCAGAGAAUGGUAUUUUCUCAGUACGGCCAGCAUAAUGGAAAACACACAGUGCCAGCUCCUGAAAAGAAGAAACUGCUAUUUGGGACUCAAGCACGAAGGACAUAGAACUCAUCAGGGAAGGACUGUCCUGGGGUGGGCCAAGGAGGCAGCGAGUGGCCGAAGGACUCUACCCAGUGGACAGAUGCCAAAACAUUUUCAGCAGUAAAACUCUUCAUUAAACCUGAAAAUACAUGCAGCCUCCAAAAA